AACGUAGGAGGCGAGCGUUAUCCGGAUUUACUGGGCGUAAAGCGCGUGCAGGCGGCAUGGAAAGUUGGAUGUAAAAGCUCCCGGCUCAACUGGGAGAGGUCGUUCAAAACUACCAAGCUAGAGUACAGUAGAGGGAAGUGGAAUUCCGGGUGUAGUGGUGAAAUGCGUAGAUAUCCGGAGGAACACCAGUGGCGAAAGCGGCUUUCUGGACUGUAACUGACGCUCAGACGCGAAAGCUAGGGUAGCAAACGGGAUUAGAGACCCCGGUAGUCCUAGCCGUAAACGAUGUAGACUUGGCGUAGGAGGGUUCAAAUCCUUCUGUGCCGAAGCAAACGCGAUAAGUCUACCGCCUGGGGACUACGGCCGCAAGGUUAAA
rnacentral:rRNA from 1 species